GAGUUUGAUCCUGGCUCAGAUUGAACGCUGGCGGCAUGCCUUACACAUGCAAGUCGAACGGCAGCAUGAUCUAGCUUGCUAGAUUGAUGGCGAGUGGCGAACGGGUGAGUAAUACAUCGGAACGUGCCCUGUAGUGGGGGAUAACUAGUCGAAAGAUUAGCUAAUACCGCAUACGACCUGAGGGUGAAAGUGGGGGACCGCAAGGCCUCAUGCUAUAGGAGCGGCCGAUGUCUGAUUAGCUAGUUGGUGGGGUAAAGGCCCGACCAAGGCGACGAUCAGUAGCUGGUCUGAGAGGACGAUCAACCACACUGGGACUGAGACACGGCCCAGACUCCUACGGGAGGCAGCAGUGGGGAAUUUUGGACAAUGGGCGAAAGCCUGAUCCAGCAAUGCCGCGUGUGUGAAG
rnacentral:rRNA from 1 species